UACAGAGUUGCGAUUUGCAAAGCGGUGAGUCAGUCAACCAGUCACUUACAAAACAACGUUUCAAUUUGGUGUAUUUCAAAACGCACAAAACUCCAACGACAAUAGCAUCAACACGAAAAAAAUACUUUUAUUAAAAUAACAAUGUAUGGAUAUGGAAAAAGUGAGUAAACCAAAUUAGAUAAUACGCGAAUUUGAACGUAAAUGUGUGUGCGUAUGCGUAUGCGAAUGUGCUGCCUGGAGCGAGCGUCAAGCUCGGCGUGAACACAAUCUGAAUGACAAUUAACAUUUUUAGCAAAAAGCAAUGCAACCAGUCAGCGCACAGCCGCCACAAAGGCAUAAGCCACAACAAGCGCAACAACAAUGCAGUUAACAAUGAUCGCAAGCUUUAAAUGUUGAAAAUGCAUGGAAAUUAAAGCAAAUAAAAGCAAAUAUGUACAUACGAGUACGAGUAAGACGCUAAUAAAAAAACAAAAUUACGACUAAUAAAAAAGCAUUUUAACAAAAUAAAUUUGUUCGAGUGAAUGAUGUGAGACUGCCGCGCUGGUCGUAUGUUUCAAGACGAAAAAAUAGAGAAAUUUAUACUCGAAGAAAAAAGGGAUAGAAACACGCUGCCAGCCAAAUCAAGUAUUUCAUCAAUAAAUCUGCCUUUCAAUAAAGCGAUCGUUACUUUUAACCAGGACCAACGAAAUGGAACGUAGCAUUUUCAACGCAGAGUUAUUGCUACUUCUAAAACCUGCUUUAUUUUUGUUUCAGCAUUGCCGAACUUUGGUAGACUUUGAAAACCCACAAAUGAAUUGGGAUCGAUCAGUAGCUGAAACACCUGCAUAGAUUUUCGCCAUAUUUCAGGUUUACGCAAUGUCAGGUGUAAGACCAUGAAUCAAUAAUGUAAAGUUCGCUCAGUAAGCAGCAUUCUCAUGCCCUCCCUUAGCAAGACACUGGGUUUCUAAAUCUAGAUAUUUUGAGUAAAAGUGUAGAAAAAGUAAAAUUUAUAUGUAAAACAUUUCUUUUUCUAAAUUGGGUGCCUAUGAGCAGCAAUGCG